rnacentral:rRNA from 1 species
GGGGGUUCCAGCAGCCGCGGUAAUACGGGGGGGCAAGCGUUAUUCGGAAUUAUUGGGCGUAAAGGGCGCGCAGGCGGUUUUGUAAGUCAGGUGUGAAAGCCCGGGGCUCAACCCCGGAAGUGCACUUGAAACAGCAAGACUUGAAUAUGGGAGAGGGGAGAGGAAUUCCUGGUGUAGAGGUGAAAUUCGUAGAUAUCAGGAGGAACACCGAUGGCGAAGGCGUCUCUCUGGACCGAUAUUGACGCUGAGGCGCGAAAGCGUGGGUAGCGAACGGGAUUAGAUACCCCGGUAGUCCCCGCC